rnacentral:rRNA from 1 species
GUCCUGCGCGGAAGAUGUAACGGGGCUCAAAUCUAUAACCGAAGCUGCGGCAUCAGACGAAAGUCUGUUGGGUAGGGGAGCGUUCUGUAAGCGGAUGAAGGUGAAUCGAGAGGUUUGCUGGACGUAUCAGAAGUGCGAAUGCUGACAUAAGUAACGAUAAAACGGGUGAAAAACCCGUUCGCCGGAAGACCAAGGGUUCCUGUCCAACGUUAAUCGGGGCAGGGUGAGUCGGCCCCUAAGGCGAGGCUGAAAAGCGUAGUCGAUGGGAAACGGGUUAAUAUUCCCGUACUUGGAUAAACUGCGAUGUGGGGACGGAGCAGGUUAGGUUAUCGCACUGUUGGAUAUGUGCGUUUAAGUUUGUAGGUGUGAAGUUUAGGCAAAUCCGGACUUCUUUAACACUGAGAGAUGAUGACGAGGCUCUACGGAGCUGAAGUAACCGAUACCACACUUCCAGGAAAAGCCACUAAGCUUCAGGUUUAUCUAAACCGUACUGAAAACCGACACAGGUGGUCAGGUAGAGAAUACUCAGGCGCUUGAGAGAACUCGGGUGAAGGAACUAGGCAAAAUAGCACCGUAACUUCGGGAGAAGGUAUGCCCUCUAAGGUUAAGGACUUGCUCCGUAAGCCCUGGAGGGUCGCAGAGAAUAGGUGGCUGCGACUGUUUAUUAAAAACACAGCACUCUGCUAACACGAAAGUGGACGUAUAGGGUGUGACGCCUGCCCGGUGCUGGAAGGUUAAUUGAAGAUGUGCAAGCAUCGGAUCGAAGCCCCAGUAAACGGCGGCCGUAACUAUAACGGUCCUAAGGUAGCGAAAUUCCUUGUCGGGUAAGUUCCGACCUGCACGAAUGGCAUAAUGAUGGCCAGGCUGUCUCCACCCGAGACUCAGUGAAAUUGAAAUCGCCGUGAAGAUGCGGUGUACCCGCGGCUAGACGGAAAGACCCCGUGAACCUUUACUAUAGCUUGACACUGAACAUUGAAUUUUGAUGUGUAGGAUAGGUGGGAGCCUUAGAAGCAGUCACGCCAGUGAUUGUGGAGGCGUCCUUGAAAUACCACCCUUUAACGUUUGAUGUUCUAACGAAGAUUACGAAACGUGGUCUCGGACAGUGUCUGGUGGGUAGUUUGACUGGGGCGGUCUCCUCCCAAAGAGUAACGGAGGAGUUCGAAGGUUACCUAGGUCCGGUCGGAAAUCGGACUGAUAGUGCAAUGGCAAAAGGUAGCUUAACUGCGAGACCGACAAGUCGAGCAGGUGCGAAAGCAGGACAUAGUGAUCCGGUGGUUCUGAAUGGAAGGGCCAUCGCUCAACGGAUAAAAGGUACUCCGGGGAUAACAGGCUGAUACCGCCCAAGAGUUCAUAUCGACGGCGGUGUUUGGCACCUCGAUGUCGGCUCAUCACAUCCUGGGGCUGAAGUAGGUCCCAAGGGUAUGGCUGUUCGCCAUUUAAAGUGGUACGCGAGCUGGGUUUAGAACGUCGUGAGACAGUUCGGUCCCUAUCUGCCGUGGGCGUUGGAGAAUUGAUUGGGGCUGCUCCUAGUACGAGAGGACCGGAGUGGACGCACCACUGGUGUUCCGGUUGUGUCGCCAGACGCAUUGCCGGGUAGCUAAGUGCGGAAGAGAUAAGUGCUGAAAGCAUCUAAGCACGAAACUUGCCAAGAGAUGAGUUCUCCCUGUCUUUAAGACAGUAAGGGUUGU